rnacentral:rRNA from 1 species
UGGGGAAUCUUGCACAAUGGGGGCAACCCUGAUGCAGCGACGCCGCGUGAGCGAUGAAGCCCUUCGGGGCGUAAAGCUCUUUCGACCGGAACGAUAAUGACGGUACCGGGAGAAGAAGCUGCGGCUAACUACGUGCCAGCAGCCGCGGUAAUACGUAGGCAGCAAGCGUUGUUCGGAGUUACUGGGCGUAAAGAGUGCGUAGGCGGUUUUCUAAGUUCGGUGUGAAAUCUCCCGGCUUAACUGGGAGGGUGCGCCGAAGACUGGGAAGCUGGAGUGUGGGAAAGGCAGGCGGAAUUCCUGGUGUAGCGGCGAAAUGCGUAGAUAUCAGGAGGAACACCAGCGGUGUAGACGGCUUGCUAGACCAUAACUGACGCUGAGGCACGAAAGCGUGGGUAGCAAACA